rnacentral:lncRNA from 1 species
GCUUUUGGGAUGUUCGCAGACAUCGUUUCCAGACUGCAAUGCUUCCUCGGAGGUUGUUGCAAUGUCAUUUCCAACUGAGGCUUCUGUGGGUGGUGGUGUGUCUAGAGGGAGGAUCUUGGUGACAGUUAUGGCUCGGGUAUUGCCUGAGAAGUUGUGGUCUGUAACUUUCACACAGAACUUAUGUGUCUGUCCGAUGGUGCUGAUUAGAGCUUCCGGGACAGGCACCACAUGGUCAGCUCCUUCGCUUUUAUUAACC